UACAGGUCCUGUGAUCCAUAAGGAUUUCACUUGAUAGACCCUUCAUCUCUCCAGUCUCUCCCUGUGAAAUUUGUAAUGAAGGAAAGACUGUCCACAGGGAAUGUCAGACAUGAAGAAUACCAGAAGCCUCAGCCCUUUCCUUACCCGUGUGAGAUGGAGAGUCUCCUCUCAGUGGCCCCACCACACCUCCUUCAUUCUCACCUGGGCCUGGCAGCAGGGUGAGACUGGGCUUUUCACUCUGCACUUCGGACUUCAUUCACACAAGUGAUCCGAUCUCCUAUUUUGAAUCACCUAUUGUGGUUAAGGAUCAUUCUGCCCUGAGCAAUCUGUGGCCUGUCAUACCCUGCAAAAAGACAGUGUGUUAUGCUUUCACAAAAGAUGGACCCUAUGCGGGAGAUGAGAAAACAAGAAGCCGUAAACCAGGAAGCCAAGAUCCAUGGUAAAAAAGUAUCAAGUCCAAAAAACCUGGAAGACCAAUCCGAAAACAAGAUCCAGAACCAAAGGCAAGUAAGCCAACCAGAAGUCUAGAAAAACCAAGAAGCAGUCAAGAGAGGAAAAAGCUCUGAAGCGUCUCACAAGAAGUUCAACCCAAUACUGAGCAGGGAGAUGAGCGUGAGGCAGGUUCAAGUAGCCAGGAGGAGGAGGUGUGUCUGAUUACAUAAUUGACACAGCAGUGGAAUGCAGAGAGCAUAAGGUCCUCACUGGGCGAGGUACCACUGUGCCUACUGCCUGCAGAGAAUCUACACACUGUUAGGUGGAGGUUCCUGAUAUUUUGGUCAGCCAUGUGUUAUCUAAAAUCUAAUGUUAGCCUAAUAAGUUAAAAUAGAUGGUUUGUAUUGUUAUUUCAAUAGAAUAUACCUUCCAAGAUGCUAUACUGUAUAUAUGCAAAUUGUAUGUAAAUGCUCCUAUACAAAUAUGUAAAGACUCUGUAGCAAACUGUUGAGAAGGGCACUAUACUAAA
rnacentral:lncRNA from 1 species